GUGGAUUAGAUACCCUGGUAGUCCACGCCGUAAACGAUGCUAACUCGUUUUUGGAUUUUCGGAUUCAGAGACCAAGCGAAAGUGAUAAGUUAGCCACCUGGGGAGUACGAUCGCAAGAUUGAAACUCAAAGGAAUUGACGGGGGCCCGCACAAGCGGUGGAUUAUGUGGUUUAAUUCGAUGAUACGCGAGGAACCUUACCAAGACUUAAAUGGGAAUUGACAGAUUUAGAAAUAGAUCCUCCUUCGGGCAAUUUUCAAGGUGCUGCAUGGUUGUCGCCAACU
rnacentral:rRNA from 1 species